rnacentral:rRNA from 1 species
UACGUAGGGGGCAAGCGUUAUCCGGAUUUACUGGGUGUAAAGGGGGCGCAGGCGGCGCGCCAAGUCUGAUGUGAAACCCCGGGGCUCAACCCCGGGCAUGCAUUGGAAACUGGCGGGCUGGAGUGCCGGAGAGGUAAGCGGAAUUCCUAGUGUAGCGGUGAAAUGCGUAGAUAUUAGGAGGAACACCAGUGGCGAAGGCGGCUUACUGGACGGCAACUGACGCUGAGGCUCGAAAGCGUGGGGAGCAAACAGG